AGCCGCUUAGGCUGCUGCUCUGCUGUUCCGUGCUGAUCGGAAUCAGCCCACGGCCGCUUAGGAGGCAAAGCUGGAAGGAAUGUUUAUCGUUUAUCUGGGGCCAAGAGAGGGACGGGCUGGAGCCCGCACAGCCAGAGCCGCGUGCCUGGGAAGGCCCAUCUCAUGUGCGUGUGUGCGUGCGUGCUGCGUGUGUGUGCGUGUGCGCUGACUGAGGCCACGUUGCCUCUCCGGGGGCCCCGCCAGAGCUGGGACAGCUGCUGAUUCCGAACACACGUGUGUUUGUCGGGGGGCCUUAGAGCCAGCCCGGGCGGGGCCGUCGGUGAAGGGCCCCGCCACCACCGGACUCGCAGCCUCUGAUGCCGCCUCAAACGCGUCCCUACGACGCAUCAAUCCAGCAGAGCUGCCCACCGCAGACCCAGGCGUCUGAGCCUCGAGAACACCUCCCCGAGGGCUGCGGAACUGCCUCCAGGCCCUGCAGCUUGGAGAGGAGCAGGCCUCGCCAGUUCUCCCAGUCCAGACCCCAGGCUCUUAAUGACACUCGGACGCCCUACACAGGGCGACACCCAAGCCUUCCCGUCUCCCCACUCCCUGUGAGUCACCCUGGCCGCUGCCAAGAAGCAGGUUUCACAGCGCUGGCGUCUGGGGACGGUGGCAGCAGGCCCACCCCGGCCCCAGGCCGGCUGGCCUGGGUGACACACACAACGGUUCAGAAGUACAGGACAGGACAAGAUGAGGAAAGCUCGGAGAGACCCUUCGGGCCCAGGAGUCAGGGCCUCUGUGACCCGGUGGCCUUGAGCACAGCUGUCACUCGUUUGCCACAUUUGCAGUCGCUGAAAGGGCCUCAGCGAGGGAGACGGCAUUGAACAAACUCCUAGUCGUGUGGCCAAGAAGACUCCUUAGGAACAAAGGAGCAGAGAGGGACGAGGUGAGGGGUCACAGAGGGCCUUGCCCCCGAGGUGACGUUUAAGCGGAGAUGCGGAGGAGGAGCUGGUGCCAGUGUCACUGAGAGAGGAACACACCAGGCUUCAGGGCCGGUCCGCCAGGCUACAGUGUCCCUGAGAAAGGGGCAGAGGGAGCUCUGGUCAUGGCUCGGGGUUAACGAACCCGACUAGGAUCCAUGAGGAAGUGGGUUCGAUCCCUGGCCUCGCCCUGUGUGUUGAGGAUCUGGCGUUGCCAUGAGCUGGGGUGUGGGUGGCACGCAGAUGCGGCCUGGAUCCUGCGUUGCUGUGGCUGUGGUGUAGGCCGGCAGCUGCAGCUCCGAUUUGACCCCUAGCCUGGGAACCUCCAUACGCCUCGGGUGCGAACAUAAAAAGACAAAAGACAAAAAAGAGAGAGAGAAAGGGGCAGGGAGGAACCCGCCAGGCUACAGGGCCGUGGGUCCUCCCUGGUGAAGAGCAAAGCCUGGUUAGGGCCAUGAGGUCAAGGAGCCCCCGGGACCUUAGAGAGGGCCCUUAACGCCCCCACACUUCAGUGUCAAAAUCGCUGAUUUGCAAGAUACUCAUGAGGAUUUAAUUAUAUGGCGCCCCGCAUGUCUCAGGGCCUACGCGUAGGCACGCAGUAAAUGGCAGCAGAGUGUCUUGUAAUGCCCUGUGCACGUAGUAGCAUUUAUAACCACGGGUUUGAUGACAUUUUAUAACCCACUUCUCUUUGUUUGUCUUUCCCCUCCCUCUCUCCCCACCCCUCUCUUUCUCUCUCUCUCUCUCUCUCUCUUUCUCUCUUCUUUCUCGGCCACACCUGCUGCAUAUGGAAGUUCCCAGGCCAAGGACGGAAUCCGAGCCAGGGCUGCAACUCACACCACAGCUGCAGCAAAGCCAGAUGCUUAACUCGCUGCUUCAGGCCAGGGAUGGAACCAGGGCCUCCACA
rnacentral:lncRNA from 1 species